AGAGUUUGAUCAUGGCUCAGGAUGAACGCUGGCGGCGCACAUAAGACAUGCAAGUCGAACGGACUAAAUUCAUUCUUUAAGAUUGGGAGAGGUUAGUGGCGGACUGGUGAGUAAAACGUAAGCAACCUGGCUAUUAGAGGGGGACAACAGUUAGAAAUGACUGCUAAUACCGCAUAUGCCAUAAGUAUCGCAUGAUAGAAGUGGGAAAGGAGAAAUCCGCUAAUAGAUGGGCUUACGGCUGAUUAGCUAGUUGGUGGGGUAAAGGCCUACCAAGGCGACGAUCAGUAGCCGGACUGAGAGGUUGAACGGCCACAUUGGGACUGAGAUACGGCCCAGACUCCUACGGGAGGCAGCAGUCGGGAAUUUUGCGCAAUGGAGGAAACUCUGACGCAGUGACGUCGCGUGCAGGAAGAAGGUUUUCGGAUUGUAAACUGCUUUAGACAGGGAAGAAAAAAGACAGUACCUGUAGAAUAAGCUCCGGCUAACUACGUGCCAGCAGCCGCGGUAAUACGUAGGGAGCAAGCGUUAUCCGGAUUUAUUGGGUGUAAAGGGUGCGUAGACGGGAUAAUAAGUUAGCUGUGAAAGGCCUCUGCUCAACAGAGGAACUGCAACUAAAACUGUUAUUCUUGAGUACUGGAGAGGAAAGUGGAAUUCCUAGUGUAGCGGUGAAAUGCGUAGAUAUUAGGAGGAACACCGGUGGCGAAGGCGACUUUCUGGACAGAAACUGACGUUGAGGCACGAAAGUGUGGGGAGCAAACAGGAUUAGAUACCCUGGUAGUCCACACUGUAAACGAUGGAUA
rnacentral:rRNA from 1 species